AAUGUCUUUAUCAGUUUCAAAUGUGUAACAAAUUGUGUGUCAUUUGUCUGUAGAUUCAAUCAUGACGUCACCUAAGAAAAUUUAAAUCGAGGGUAGAAGAAGGGUAUAUUCACCAGGUUUCUGAGAUGAAACAAGGAACGCACAAGAAAUACUUCACUGCUGUACUUCAGGAAGCCACCAAAAAUACAAAAAUGGUCGUCUUUACCCCACAGAAACACAAUUGGUUUGUGUGUGCUGAAAAAGAUAGGCAAGUACUUUAGUAUUGUUAAAUACAAUGCUGACUAAAUCACGCCAAAAUCAAGGAGAGGAUGAUAUUUUGAUCAAUGAGCGAUCCCAACUGACAUGUGUGCGAAACUUGGGCUUCUGUUUCGAUGAGUUGUAGUGAUGGGACCUGCAUAGGCUCAGUACUGGUAGCGAGAGGAAACAGAAAUGAUUAGUUCAUUUUCUGACUCGGUUUUCGGAUACGGAUCUUUGGAUAAUUUUCCACGUGACCUGCAUUCAACGAAUAAUUUCUGUUUCCUUGGCUGAGCCUAUGCAAGUCCCAAUGGCCACGAGAAAUUGAACUAAUCUUUUUUUGAGAGGACUCGUUACUCUCGAGUCCUUGUAAGGAUUCGUUCAAAAUGAACGAAUCGUUCACGAACGACACAUCACUAAUGAGUUGGCUCCAAAUGAGCAGCAGACCAGAUCAAUAACCGACAUCCUUUCUGAUCCCAGGGAGCAUCAAAUGGUAAAUGUGCUGGUAAAAGUCAUGGAGCAGAGAGAAAAGGACCAAAUGAUGACAAGGACCCACAAAGUGAUGUACCAGACAGUGUAUGCUGUGUCUGACAAGACUGCGUCCAUCAUGCUGACUGUGUGGGGAAAUGAUGUGCUGCUUAUAGACAGGUGGUACACUUUUACAGAUGUGUCUGUGUGUUUUUUCAACAGCAAAGUCCUGCUGACAACCACACCACAAACCACUUUCCACAUUGCUGAAGAUGCAGGGGCAGCAUCAGCAGCAGUACAAAAUGAUGCAAAACAUACUGUUGGCGAAAUUCUACGGGUGGAUGUGACUUUCACUUGUGUCCACAGCGCCAUGCGCUUCUUAAGGGCGCUUAUAUGGUACUCCGUACUACACGUUUACGGACACAUGGGAACGCCUACACAUAGAUGGAACGCCCUGGAACGCCCUCUCUGUCGUCUCCGGGGCCCUCAGAGAGCUCUCCCGCGCACCGUUGAAAUUCCUGUUGAUCUGUCAUGACAUGCUGUACAGCGACGGAUACCCCUUGGCUGUGAUUGGUCCGCUACGACAUCAUUUCCAAACAUCAUUUCCGGAAUCUCACAUUUCUGGACCUCGCGUUUCCUGUUUCAUUCCCUAUAUAUCACAACACCGCCAUGUUUAAAAUCCACAAAAAAACUUAUGGAGAUCACGAACACCGAAGAGCGCAUUGCGGAAGAGGUACGGAAAUAUCCUCACCUCUAACACAUCGCUAAAAGAUUAUAAAGAUGCGCGAAUGACUGCCAAUUCGUGGUGAGCGAUAUCUGCAGCGGUAGAGCUGGACACUAAAGACUGCGUAACGCGAUGGAGAAGGUUGCGGGACAAGUUCGUGAGGGCCAAGAGGACUUUUAAAAGCAGAAGUGGCGAUGCAGGAGGGCAGAAGAUGCCUGCCAUCCUAACGUUUCUGUCGUGGUUGGACCCAUUCGUCAAACAUCGGGAGACGUCCUCUAAUUACGACAAUAAGCAGACAGAGCCAUUAUGCCACCUCAGCACCUGAGGCCUCCCCCGACAUCCUCACCAGCACCUGAGGCUUCCGUUGAGCCAACCUGCUACCCACCACCCAGGUUUCUGACUCCAUGCACCCCUCCACCCUCCAGGAUUCCGCCCUCUCCAUCCACCCCUCAAGCCUCCAGACCCAUGGUACCGCUAUCCCCGCUUACACCAAAGAGAAGACGGGCGGCGCAAGAUCAGAGUGUCAUUGAGGCAAUGGCAAGGGUCGAGGAGCGCAGGGUCCAAAUGUACAGGGACUUUGAGCCCGUUGAACCUUCUCCACCACCACCACAGUUUGAAAACACUUGUUUUGGCAAUAGUGUAGGUGUCUUGGCAAAGACACUACACAAAGACACGCAAAGGGAGAUAAAACUUCAGAUUUACGCCCUGCUGUAUAACAACCAGGCUGACCAUCCGCGUUUUGUAAAUACGUACCACCAUCUAUAAAUAGUUUUACAUUACUUAUACAGUGUUAACAUUUCUUAUUUUGC
ensembl:lncRNA